rnacentral:rRNA from 1 species
UUGUCUUGUAAUUGGAAUGAUGGUGACGUAAAAUCUCACCAGAGUAACAAUUGGAGGGCAAGUCUGGUGCCAGCAGCCGCGGUAAUUCCAGCUCCAAUAGCGUAUAUUAAACUUGUUGCAGUUAAAAAGCUCGUAGUUGAAUUUCUGCGUUGCCCGACUCGGCUACUUGCCUUGUCUGGUUUCGCUUUUGGGGUUUUCCCCUUUUUACUUUGAGAAAAUUAGAGUGUUUCAAGCAGACUUGUGUCUUGAAUACUUCAGCAUGGAAUAAUAAAGUAGGACUUUGGUUCUAUUUUGUUGGUUUGUGAACCUUAGUAAUGGUUAAUAGGAACGGUUGGGGGCAUUCGUAUUUAACUGUCAGAGGUGAAAUUCUUAGAUUUGUUAAAGACGAACUACUGCGAAAGCAUUUGCCAAGGACGUUUUCAUUAAUCAAGAACGAAAGUUAGGGGAUCGAAGACGAUCAGAUACCGUCGUAGUCCUAACCAUAAAC